rnacentral:lncRNA from 1 species
GGUGUGUGCAAAAAGGGAUAAGAACAAUGCAAAAAGAAACAAAAAGAAACAAAUAGAAAAAAAAAAGAAACAAAAAGAAACAAAUAGAAAAAAAAAAGAUGAUGGAAUCAACGCAAAUCAAUGCAAAAAUAACCUAACAAUACCCCCACACCUAUGACAAACAUUGUCCUCAAUGUGUAAGCAUAUAUAUAAAAAAUUAAGAAGAAAAGGGAAAAAGACUUCCUGGCCUG